rnacentral:lncRNA from 1 species
GGACAGUUUGCAGUAGCUCUAGCCCUAAGACAGACACAUGUGCAGGACACAGCCACGGUAAAGGCUGCAGAUAAAUUCAACUGUGUAAGGAAGAUCCAGUUACAUGUGGGCAACGGCAGCCAAUGGGCUGGGGCCUGAGAAUCAGCAUUCAUCCGUUUCUUGACUGUGUGACAGCCUGAAUCCAACCUCAGUGUGCCUCUGUCAGAUUAACAGGAUAGCUGGAAGUCCCGCUGGCCAUCGGACACUCGUUCAUUAGGUGCUAACUAUGUGUCAGGCACUGGGUACUGGGAUGCGAUGGUGAACAAGACAGCCACAGACCAGCUCUCCUUGGAAACUGAGCUCAGAGGUGGAAACCAACCUAAAUAAACGGUCACGAUCAAGCUGUCAGUAGGACCGAUUCCUUGGAGAAACUCUGGAAAUAAACUUGCCAGCCAGUGGGUAGAUGAGGCUGAACCAAUACAUACUGGGUCUGCAUGUGGAAGAAUGAGGCUUGCAGCCAACGGCCGUCCACAUCUCUGAUGAGGAUCAGAGCACAUGGAAAUUGAAGCCAUGUGGGACUUAACAAGAGAUCAAAUGGUAUCUUAAACAUCCCAGGGCAGCUGCCCUGUCCCCAGAGCCUGGGGCGGCCUCUGUGAAGGGGCCCCUCUUUCCUGGUGUUCUGGGUCCCUCUCCUCCCAGCUCCACUGCAGCAUCCAGAUUUCUCGAAGUGGCUGAUGUGUGUCUCAUGAUGAGUACUGAACAUCAUAAAAGGAGAAGUGACAAGCAAGCCCGAGUCUAGAGAGUAAGAGAAGCCACAGGCUAAGAAGUGGGACCAUGGCUUAGAAGACCAGAACAGAAGAAAAAGCAAGAGAUGAACAUUCUGGCAAAAACCAGACUACAGAUUUACAUUUUUUCUUUAUUAUUUUAUUAGAUAUUACCUUUAUUUUUAUUAUCUUUUUAAAUUAUUUUUAUUAUUUUAUUAUCUUUCAUUAUUUUUAUUAAAAUUCUUAUCACUUUAUUUUCUUUAUUCUUUUUUCUUUACUCUCAGUACUUCAUUCAGCAUCACCAUAUUUAAUGUUUCCUUACAACUGGGUCUUUUCUAUGGUUGUCCUUGGAUACACCCUUGUUGGUGGCAGAACCCUGUGGUUAGUUCUGGCCAAUGACUGAUGUGUGGAAGUGAUGUGUCUGGGCUGAUGUAUUGAAUGGCCUCUGGGAAGCAAGCAGUUGACAGGGUGACAGACAAAUGCUUGAAACAGCUUAUGCAGUGGAGGUUUCCUUCAGAGGACAAUUGCCCUGGGGACAUCUCUUGAUCAGGAUCUGACUUUGCCUGGAUAAAUACAAUAAAGCUUUGUUUUAAUCUUCUGA